CAGACGGGAGGCAGAAGGGAGGAAGAGGGGGAAAGGGAAGAGAGGAGGAAGAAGAGAAGGAGAGGGAAGGAUGACGGCCCUAGGGGGGGUAAACUUCUUUUAUAUGGGAAUAAAACGUUCCACGUGUGGGAUUUUGUAUGUACCAUAUGAAUAAGGAUCGGCUAACUCCGUGCCAGCAGCCGCGGUAAUACGGAGGAUCCGAGCGUUAUCCGGAUUUAUUGGGUUUAAAGGGAGCGUAGGUGGAUUGUUAAGUCAGUUGUGAAAGUUUGCGGCUCAACCGUAAAAUUGCAGUUGAAACUGGCAGUCUUGAGUACAGUAGAGGUGGGCGGAAUUCGUGGUGUAGCGGUGAAAUGCUUAGAUAUCACGAAGAACUCCGAUUGCGAAGGCAGUUCACUGGACUGCAACUGACACUGAGGCUCGAAAGUGUGGGUAUCAAACAGGAUUAGAUACCCUAGUAGUC
rnacentral:rRNA from 1 species